rnacentral:lncRNA from 1 species
UAUUGCAUACUGCAACCAUUAUUGUUUCACAAACCCAAUAACUCGGUUGCCCUUCCCAAGAAUGCAAUUUCAAAAAUUACCUAUUUCAGAAAUAUGAAGAGACUUUUCCUCUUAUCCUCAAAUCUCAUCUCGCCCCUCCCUCUAGCAAAAUUACAUAACCUUUCCAAAAAGUUUCAUUCUUCAUCUUCGACUUUCGGUGAGACUCGCCGCCGUAAAUGCUUCCAUCGCCGCGACUACAUCCCUCUCACGUCUCUCUCUCUCUCUCUUUCUUUUUUUCAAGCAACUUUUCGCGGCCAUUUGGUAUGUACGGUUCAUUGUCUCAAACUCAAUAACAAUGUAUAGAAAAAUAGAGUUUUCAUUGGCUGCUUAAAUUCUUCGGAGAUUUGGAGAUAUGGAGAUUUGUUAUUACUAUAUAGGAACUUGCUACUGUUUUGAAAUAAUUUGUGAUGAUCUGUUGUUUGAAUUCAGGCGAGGAGUGCAUUGAGAGGUCACGCGAGGCUAAGAUCAUUGAUAGAAGGGCAAUCAGUGAAACGCCAAGCAACGAGCACCUUAAAACUUUCUCUUCGGGAUCCAAUCCAAC